rnacentral:rRNA from 1 species
CCUACGGGGGGCAGCAGUGGGGGAUAUUGCACAAUGGGGGAAACCCUGAUGCAGCGACGCCGCGUGGGUGAAGAAGCGCCUCGGCGCGUAAAGCCCUGUCAGCAGGGAAGAAAAUGACGGUACCUGAAGAAGAAGCCCCGGCUAACUACGUGCCAGCAGCCGCGGUAAUACGUAGGGGGCAAGCGUUAUCCGGAUUUACUGGGUGUAAAGGGGGCGCAGACGGCGAUGCAAGCCAGGAGUGAAAGCCCGGGGCCCAACCCCGGGACUGCUCUGGGAACUGCGUGGCUAGAGUGCAGGAGGGGCAGGCGGAAUUCCUGGUGUAGCGGUGAAAUGCGUAGAGAUCAGGAGGAACACCGGUGGCGAAGGCGGCCUGCUGGACUGCAACUGACGUUGAGGCCCGAAAGCGUGGGGAGAAAACAGGAGUAGAUACCCGGGUAGUC